AUUAAUCAUCAUUAGCAAUUUUUAAUUGACAUUCACGUAACAACUAAUCCAUCAAAAGAGCGCAAUUAGAGCAUUUGAAUUUAUUUUAACGACUUCCAUUAUUGGGAUCCACUUUUUCACUUGAAUAACUUUUUGUUUACAUUCCCAUAGAACUGCGUCAUGCAAGACAACACUUACAAAGACAUAUAUACAUUUAUGUAUAUAAAUAUAUCAACGUGUAUAUAGAUGUUAAUCUCGAUUACUUGCUGUCUUAUAAAAAAAAUAGUUUAAUUGCUUGUAAGAUUUUAUUUAAAAAUAAAGUUGACAAUAAUUAUAAUCAAAUCACGAGUUCUAUUAAAUCGCUGCAAUACCAAAAGCUCAUUGCACGUAAUUAAUAUUCUACGAGGUCAAAAGAAAUGAAUAUGGAAUCAUUAUCCCACUUGGUUAAAUCAUUAGCAGUGAAUGAUUUCCAGCAUGCAAUGUCUGAUGAAGAUUUUGUAAAAACUGCCAUGACACUGUGUCAAAAUUACUGUAAUAAAAAUAAAUGUCAAGUACUUACCAUUAAUCAUGAAUCAAAGAGCGAUAGUCUAACUAAAGACAUGAUAAAUGCAGGAAAUAAGAUGGCUAAUUCUAACCGGUCUUUAGAACAGUCAAUUGAGAUUUAUAAUGAAGCCAUGGCACACGCAUUGCCAGGUUCAGAAUUUUUAGCCCAUGCAUUUGCUAAUCGUUCUGUUGUACUUACAAAGGCUGGGAUGUAUGAAGAAUCAUUGAAAGAUAUCCAGCAUGCACUAGACGCUAAUUAUCCAGAUAAUUUGAAAGCUGGGCUGUAUGCUCGCAAAGCUAAAAAUUUACUAGCUCUCGAUCUGACAGCGAAUGUUGAAGAAACUUUAGCUGCAGCGAGGAGCUGGGCUUUGAAGCUGGACGAUGAUAAAAGAGAUGAAUUUCUAAGUAAUCUAGACAAAUUAAAGAAUAAAAAAUACAAAAAACCUGUCACUCAACGUGAUAAUCGCAUUUAUAUUCCCACGGCUCCUGAUGAUAAUCCAAAAUUAAUGAGAACUUAAGUGCUGUCUCGAUAAACUAUUCAGAUAAAUUUGGGUGACAUUUGAUUGCGACCAGAGACAUCAAAGCUGGUGAAGCUCUCAUGGUUAAAAAAGUCUACUCGUUGGUUCUUAUGUCUGAAUUCAGGUUCAAGCGGUGUUGGAACUGUUCCAAGCACUGUUGAUCUAGUAUUCCCUGCAAUGAGUGCGCAAAUGUUAUCUAUUGUAGUGAAGGUUGUCGUGAUAUUGCCUGGAAUGAGCACCAUAGCCUAGAGUGUCCACUUAUUACUGCUUUAAUAUCAAAUAAAUCUUACAGCUGUUCGUUGAUUAUGAGUUUGAGAUUACUUGUAAAAGCCCUCAAAGAAUUUAAAACAGUAGAAGAGUUGCAUAAAAAAAUUCAAGAGAUUGAUUCAGUUAAAAAUGCAGCAAUGAAAUGUUUCAAUGGUGAUGUAUAUGAUGAUACUAAGUACGCAAGCGUCUAUUCACUGUUUCGAAAAUCACUUGUUACCGAAUUCAAAGUUGACAGUGCGAUGAAAACUGUCAUGACCAUUCGCUAUUUGAGUGCUACAACUGAUGUGUUUGGCAAAAAAACUAAUAAUUUUAAAGAGUUGAUGGAAAAUUGUUAUUUCGUCACUAUGAAAUAAAUGCGACCAAUACAAUUGCGAUUGAAUUAAAUGACAAAAAAGAUGAAAAUAAAACAGUAAUAUGUGGCGGGAUUUUAGUUCCACUGGUCGAUUUAUGCAGCCACAGUUGUGACCGAAAUACAUACUCAAUCUCUUCUCGAGAUAUAUUUUCUCUUGUAUCUAUUCAACGGAUCAAGAAAGGAGAACAGAUUUAUGUUAGCUAUGGAGAGUUAAGUUGUUUAAAUAAUUGUGAAUACAUAAUAUAUAAUUGUAUUGGUAAAAUAACAAAUUGACGUCUUUUAAUUGAUAGGAUUAUCGGGACUUGGAGACUUCAGAAAGAAGAAAACGUUUACAAGAGAAUCACGGUUUUUGGUGUGAAUGUUAUCCUUGUGUUAACAAUUGGGGUCCGCAUCAAAAUCUGCCAUCUUGUUUGGAUUCUCUGUCAAAUGAAAAAAGAACUGAGUUAUUAAAAGUUAUGACGAAGUGCACAAACUACUAUUCAUUUGGAUUUCUUGAUGACUGUACUCCAGAAAAAAUUUUAAAAAUAUUAUCUGACUUAUUUGCAGUGAUCAAUACCUUUGAUGACGUUACUUACUAUCUAUGUGAUGAAAUGGAUGACAUCAAAGUUCUAUUGCUCUGUGUCUCAAAGUGGAUAAAUUCAUGUCAAACAUAAAAUAUUUACGUAUAAAUUUACAUCUUUAUAUUUUAUUCUUGAAGUUAUAAAUAAAACAAUACAGGAUAAGAAGUUAAGGUUGAGAUCAUAAAAAAAAUUGAUUUUUAUAUUUCUAUAGAAUAUAUUGAACGGUAAUUAUACUGUAAAAAGUUUAUAAUGUAAUGAUACCAAUUAUUUACCAAGAAGUAGACCGAAUAAACCAAUAACACUUCUAGUUGACUGAUAAUGCUUUGGUUCAUAUUUAAGACUCAAUAUGUUCAUAAAUAUAAUUGGACAGUGAUAUAUAUGUGAUGGAUACCCUUGAUACUCAAAAUGCUUUUUUAAUCCUAGAGGAGCACUUAAAGGAUUUGGAUGUGUAUAAUCAUUAUUGUACAAUUACAUAUAUGGAUAUUUUAAUUUAUUGACAUUUAUAUAUUACUAAAUUAAUAGAUUGAUUCUUGAAUCAUUUUAUUUAAUUUUAUUA